UGGGGCCCCACAUGGGCUUGAGCAGUGGCCCUGCCCAGACUCCAGGAAGUUCUCUGUGUCAAUCAGGAGAUGGGGGCUCAGGAGGAUUUCCCGUGCCCAGGGUUGCAAAGGUCCACGACAGAAGUAUUCAUUACUUCAACUUCCUUCAGAUGAUGGAGGAAAUGCAACGAUGUGCAAAUCUCCCUUUCUAAAUUCAUGCCUCUGGGGACAACAUGAGAUUCAGAAACCAGGGAAAUCACGGUUUCAGAUUCCAUCUUGUGUCCAAUAAUCAGUGGAACUUUCCUUUUGAGCUUUCUACAGCAUUUAACAAUUGAGUAAUGUAUACACCUGUGAACAAAAUUUGGAGCAUGUUUGUUUCUUUGUGCC